AUUGAACGCUGGCGGCAGGCUUAACACAUGCAAGUCGAGCGAGUGGCGGCCGGGUGAGUAAUGCCUGGGACUCUGCCUGAUGGAGGGGUAUAACUACUGGAAACGGUAGCUCAUACCGCAUACCAUCAGAUGUGCCCAAUUGGGAUUAGGUAGUAGGUGGGGUAAAGGCUCUCCUAGGCGACGAUCAUUAGCUGGUCUGACAGGAUGACCAGCCACACGGGAACUGAGGCACGGCCCAGAAUCCUACGGGAGGCACCAGGGGGGAAUAUGGGACAAUGGGCGCAAGCCUGAUGCAGCCAUGCCGCGUGAGUGAAGAAGGCCGGCGGGUUGUAAAGAACUUGCAUCAAGGAGGCGUUACUCGCAGAAGAAGCACCGGCUAACUCCGUGCCAGCAGCCGCGGUAAUAC
rnacentral:rRNA from 1 species